rnacentral:rRNA from 1 species
ACUCGAGUGGCGAACGGGUGAGUAACACGUGGGUGAUCUGCCCUGCACUUCGGGAUAAGCCUGGGAAACUGGGUCUAAUACCGGAUAGGAGCCAUUUUUAGUGUGAUGGUUGGAAAGUUUUUCGGUGCAGGAUGAGCUCGCGGCCUAUCAGCUUGUUGGUGGGGUAACGGCCUACCAAGGCGGCGACGGGUAGCCGGCCUGAGAGGGUGGACGGCCACAUUGGGACUGAGAUACGGCCCAG